rnacentral:rRNA from 1 species
ACGAACGCUGGCGGCAUGCCUAACACAUGCCAGUCGAACGAGACCUUCGGGUCUAGUGGCGCACGGGUGCGUAACGCGUGGGAACCUGCCCUUAGGUUCGGAAUAACUCCCCGAAAGGGGUGCUAAUACCGGAUAAUGUCUUCGGACCAAAGAUUUAUCGCCUUUGGAUGGGCCCGCGUUGGAUUAGCUAGUUGGUAGGGUAAAAGCCUACCAAGGCGACGAUCCAUAGCUGGUCUGAGAGGAUGAUCAGCCACACUGGGACUGAGACACGGCCCAGACUCCUACGGGAGGCAGCAGUGGGGAAUAUUGGACAAUGGGCGAAAGCCUGAUCCAGCAAUGCCGCGUGAGUGAUGAAGGCCUUAGGGCUGUAAAGCUCUUUUACCCGGGAUGAUAAUGACAGUACCGGGAGAAUAAGCUCCGGCUAACUCCGUG